rnacentral:rRNA from 1 species
UGCGGUAUUAUAACUGUACUAAGGUAGCAUAAUAAUUUGCCUUGUAAAUUAAGGCUAGAAUGAAUGGUUUGACGAAAAUUAAGCUGUCUCUAAUUUAUUUGUUAGAAAUUAAUUUUUAUAGUGAAAAAGCUUGGAUAAUUUAAAGGGACGAGAAGACCCUAUUGAGCUUGGUUAUUAAUAAUUAAAUGUAAAAUAAAUUGUUUUAUGGGUUUGUUUAGUAUAUAAUAUAUAAAUAUAUUUAAUUAAAUUAAUUUUGAUUGGGGUGAUCAAGGAAUAAAUAUAUUAAAAAGUAACUUCCUUAAUUUUUAUUAGAAAAUUUUAAUUGAGUAAUAAACCAAAGUUUUUGCUUAUAAGAUAAGUUACCAUAGGGGUAACAGCGUAAUUUUUUUUGAGAGUUCAUAUUGAAAAAA